UACGGGGGGGGCAAGCGUUGUUCGGAAUUACUGGGCGUAAAGGGCUCGUAGGCGGCCAACUAAGUCCGACGUGAAAUCCCCAGGCUUAACCUGGGAACUGCGUCGGAUACUGGAUGGCUUGAAUCCGGGAGAGGGAUGCGGAAUUCCAGGUGUAGCGGUGAAAUGCGUAGAUAUCUGGAGGAACACCGGUGGCGAAGGCGGCAUCCUGGACCGGCAUUGACGCUGAGGAGCGAAAGCCAGGGAGCAAACGGG
rnacentral:rRNA from 1 species